rnacentral:rRNA from 1 species
UACGGAGGAUCCAAGCGUUAUCCGGAUUUAUUGGGUUUAAAGGGUGCGUAGGCGGAUUGAUAAGUUAGAGGUGAAAUGUCCGAGCUCGACUCGGGAACUGCCUCUAAUACUGUUGAUCUAGAGAGUAGAUGCGGUAGGCGGAAUGUAUGGUGUAGCGGUGAAAUGCUUAGAGAUCAUACAGAACACCGAUUGCGAAGGCAGCUUACCAAUCUAUAUCUGACGUUGAGGCACGAAAGCGUGGGGAGCAAACAGG